UAUUUCUUACAUGAAAUUAAUCUAGAGGAAAACAACCCAGGCAGUUAGGGAAGGCUCAUAAUAUCAUCAGGGCCCAGUGUAUCCAUGUCUUACUGCUCUGUAUUCUCUGGCAUCUGACUUUCACUUCAGGGUCCCAGCUGACUGCUUGAGCUCCAGCCAUCACAUCAACAUUUCCAAGAAAAAGGAGAAAAGAAGAGCACGCUUCCUUUCUUGAAAGGCACUUCCUGAAUUUAGGAGAACUGCUUACUUACAGGAGCAGACAGGGAGCAGAAGGCUUGAAAGAAGGUCAUCAGAGAAGGUUAGUUUCACGCUUGCCUGAGGGUGAGAGACUGAAUCUAAUACCUGGACAACUGGUCGCUCCCAAAGGAGGCCCUCUGGAGAGGUGGCUAUCAGUGGGGAUCAGUAUUGCUCAUAGCCUGGGGCUCCCCCAGGAAGCAGCCUGGAGCCCAGGUGAGAGCCUGUUUGGAGGCAGAUGGUGCUGGAGAAGUCACGUCAGGCCAGCUGGUGUUCUGUAAGCAGCCCUCAUUUGUUGGAUCCUUCCUUUUUCUCCAACUGGCGUUAGGGGGUCAGAGCUCUGUCACCCUGGGUGUAGAUUUGUGCCUUCUUUGACUGCUACCUCAUUCCUCAGUUACCUCACCCCCUUAUUCACCAGUUGCUCACAUUCUGCUACCAAUAUCUGGUGUACAUUGAAUGCAAUUACUUCAUGAGCUAGGAAUGUGCAAGCGCUUAAGUCUUCCCACUCAGGAGCCUCUAGAAAUAAAACAGAUUAGGUAGCAGCUAGGGUGGGAUAAUCAAGUACAUUUUUUAACAGUGACAUAAUAACUUUCCUCGGUGAUUUCCUAUUGUUUGAAGGGGAUCAUUAUCUCUCUGUGAAACCACAUCUGACAUUGAGGCUGAAGUGAGUUGCUGAAAUGCUGGUCCUUACCUCUGAAUGGUAAGAGCCCACCUGCCUCCAUCUAAUGGGCUUUGCACCAUCAGGGCACCAAACGGAUGCUGGGCGCUUGCAGGCUGCCCUGAUGUUGUGCACUGAGGGACAUGUCUUAUAAUGUGAGAACUGCACCUGAAAUAGAUUCUGCUCCACAAGACCAAACUUGUUCUUUCUAGAGGAUAAAUGACCUCAGGGAUCAUUGGCUUUUAAGUGUUAUAAAUUUUUAUGACAUUAUGAAAGAGAUGGGGCUGCAAUAAAUCACUUAGAAUUAACUAUUUCCAUUUUCUGGAUAAUGGAUUGGGUGUAGUGUCCCAGCAACUGUGGGUAGACUACAGGGGGGAGUCCAGACAUAAGAUACAAAAUGUGUACAACAAAAUUGUCCAAGUAAGCCAUGUUACCUCUCCCCUGAUAUGGCUGAUUAUUUAAAUAGAAGUUCACUGCUCAGCAGCAGUGUUAAUCAUUGAUGGGAAAUUAAAUGAAAAUAAAACCUGGUUAAGUUCUUAGAGGAUCCCAGAAUGGGAAUUUGGAAAGGUAAGGGUAGCCUUAGGCUAGAUAAGCUGGGGAAGUAACUGAAGAUAAAAACAGAAGAAUUCAAGGGGGAUUAAUGCAGAGAUAUAAACCUGAGGGAAAUGAAAGAAAGAAAGGAAGGGAGGAAGGGAAAUAAUUGCAGAUAUAACUUUUACAUAGUAUGGAAAUAAAAAUGUUUCAAAAUGCUAAAAAUGGUUUUUUAGGUAAAAGAGCCAGAGUUGGAGUAGGUUUCACAUGUUAAGUAGAAUUCUGCGUAUUCAGAAGGAUCCUUUUAAUUUUUUUGGUAAGGGAAAAUUCAAAGACUGAGAAAGAUGCCACAUGUUUCCAGGGGACAGUCUUUUGGAGGUGCGUUGCCUGGAAGUUAUUCUGUCUAUUAAUAGUCAUGGAGUUUAAGUAGCUUUUUAAAGGGGAAUUGAGAUCAGGGACUAAGGGGAGUCUUGUGAUUUGACAGUCAAGGCUAUUGGCCACUGGGCUAUGUGUCCAUAGGUGCCAGUGCUGAGAGAAACAAAAAAAGUCUGAAAACAGAUGAGGAAACAGAACUAGAGAAUCAUAAAGCACUUUGUUGAAGGUUACACUGCUAACUAUUGGCAUAGCAAAUUCCUUGAUGAUUUAGAUAUUGCUAAGGAAUCCAGUGACUUUGGGAUAAGUUGUGGAUCAAUCAGCAGAAGGCAAGUAGGUAGGAUGUUUUAGGCCCAGACAGUGAGACGUACUUUAUAUUUUUCUCAGCUUCUGUGAAAUGUUGGCAUCGAACAGGUGGUUGUAACCCUAGCAAAGGCUGGGAAAGGGGCCAUGGCUGUGCAGUUGGGAAUGUUGAGUUGGGUGUUAUCGUCCAAGAUAAUGGACCAGUCAUCUAGGUAGAGCUAGCUAGAAGUAUCAAAUCCUCAGGAGUUGUGAAGCUUAAGUGGUGGUGGGUCAAAGACGGAAGAGGCAAUAUCUGGGAUAGAGUCUCCAGAAAGGGUCAAAUGGUCAAAUGCUUUAGCAUUUUGCUGUUAAGAACUUCUUUCUGCCUUGCCCUGUACCUGGGCCUUGUCAGUCUUAAAGCAGCGGUAUUUGGAAGCAGCUGUUAAACACAGAUGUUGUACUUGUGAGAAAAAGUUUGCAAGUGUCAGAAAAUAGUGAAGUCAACCUAAGCAAAAGUAGCUAUUAUUAGGAGACAAGGUACCUUGGGAUCUUGGGACUAGCCUAGAAGCAAAGACUGGAAGCCUGUUAGGCCUUUCUGUCUCUAGUGUUUGUUCCUCUCUGUGUUUCUGCUUGGUGUGUUGGGAAACAACCUUAUUCUAAUCGGCACUGUCAGCACACCAGUGGAAUAGAGUGUCCAGGCCUGCACUCCAAGUUGGGAGGGGACAGCAUGAAGUCUGUUCGAAGGGGAGCCAUAGGUACGAUUGAAGAGCUAAAAACAGUUAGGUCCGAGAGGAGAGGCUAAAGGACUGGGAAUAAUUCAUUGAGAAAAAGUCCACAAUUCGACAGCAAAUCGUCUUAAGUAUAUGAUAGAUUAUCAGUGUGAGAAGAUGGCGACAGACUGACUGUUCUUUGUCUUCACUAAGGAUAAACCAAGAGGGAACAGACUUGAAUCACAGCAAAGACGGAUUCAGGCUGGAUGAAAAGUAGGAGGUAGUGGCCGUGGAGGCUGCAGGCAUCUUGAUGGCUUUUGGGAGAAAGUGGAGGAGCUCUUUGGACAAAUGGGUGAUUCUUGUCUCUCUGGAAUGAUGUUUGCUCUGUCUUCAGGCAGGGUGGUGACCUAGAAGGGCCUCUCAGCCCUUCUUAGUUUGGGGACAGAUUGUUUGUUGGGUCAGAGAAGCUCUUGUUUUGUCUGGCCACUGUCUGAAGGGACUUCUUAAGCUCUUUGGUAUUUUCUCAGGGUUACAACCAUAUUGUGCCAUUAAAUAAUUUUCUACCUUCUGUUCAUUAGUCUCAAGUUUCAGUGUCUAACUGACAAAGUACAUUUAUGUUAGACUUUUAGGUUUGGGACAUAUGUUGCUGUUUAUUUAGAAAAUGAUUAAAUAAUAUGACGUCCAAGCUGCUUCCUGCCUUCAGAGCAUCCAGCGACUAUUUCACAGAUAUGAGACUGAAAUGCUUAUUUGUUUUGUUUUCAAUCAUAUGAUUUAAUUUUUAAAAUAAAAUUAAUUAAUAUAUGCCUUCCAA